UACGGGGGGGGCAAGCGUUGUUCGGAAUUACUGGGCGUAAAGGGCUUGUAGGUGGCCAACUAAGUCAGACGUGAAAUCCCUCGGCUUAACCGGGGAACUGCGUCUGAUACUGGAUGGCUUGAGUGUGGGAGAGGGAUGCGGAAUUCCAGGUGUAGCGGUGAAAUGCGUAGAUAUCUGGAGGAACACCGGUGGCGAAGGCGGCAUCCUGGACCAUUACUGACACUGAGAAGCGAAAGCCAAGGGGGAGCAAACGGGG
rnacentral:rRNA from 1 species